rnacentral:lncRNA from 1 species
CCCCAUCCACCCUUCAGCCAUCAGCCAUUAAGCGCAGCUCAUAUGUUACCCAGGGAGAGCGCAAGAGUAUCUCACACGUGAAAUGAUUUAUUAGCGGUAAUUGGUGUCAAAGUGUUCCGAAGAAAAUGAAAGGAAAGAAAAGGAAAGGAUUGUCUGUGUUCUCUGUGUUCUCUUUGUUCUCUGUCUUCUCUGUGUUCUCGGUUCUCUCUCCGCUCUGUCCUCUUCUUGUACUGCC